UACGUAGGGUGCGAGCGUUAAUCGGAAUUACUGGGCGUAAAGCGUGCGCAGGCGGUUCGUUGUGUCGGCGGUGAAAGCCCCGGGCUUAACCUGGGAAUGGCCGUCGAAACUGGCGAACUGGAGUGUGGCAGAGGGGGGUGGAAUUCCGCGUGUAGCAGUGAAAUGCGUAGAGAUGUGGAGGAACACCAGUGGCGAAGGCGACUUUCUGGCCUAUAACUGACGCUGAGGCGCGAAAGCGUGGGGAGCAAACAGG
rnacentral:rRNA from 1 species